rnacentral:lncRNA from 1 species
GCUUUCGGAUUGAAAUAGCUAUUUUCUUAUCUUCAAAAAUUUCUAAUUUUUCUAGCGAUUUACUGUAAGUUUUUUUUUAUUUUAAUCACAAAAUUUGGUAGAUCGUUUAAAGCCAAGUGAAUUUUCAGUGCUCUGUUUCUAACAUCUGUUGUGUUGUUCUUGUUGAAUCCCCAGCUUGUGUGGGAUUUGUUGGAUGUGGCCUACGUGAUAUAUUCAAGGCGAUCCAUAAAGAUACGGUCAAUCUAUUUAAGUCAAUCUAUAAAGAUACUGUAGAUUUUACGGUUACGAUGUAGCUGGACACGUCUUUGAUGGACGUGUGUGAUUUAACAUCCUUACAUUAAGUUAUACAUAAAUAUGUAACAUACAGGAGUCCCGGUCUAACGCUAAUCCAAUUGUCUGUGACGGCUUCAUCUCCGGGGAUAAGGGAUUUAGACUCGAAACGUCCCACUCUAAACGUCCCGCUAUUUUGCAGAUCGCGAACGAGGACGAACCACGAGCAAAAAAUCGCCGCCUAUGAAUCAGGUACAGAAAUCGAAAUCAUGGCAGAAGGUACGAUCUUAAUUUCUUAUAAAGUUUCAACAGGAUUUGAUACGCAUUUAAGUUUAUUGAUUUGGUUUAGUAGAAUAUUAUU